GAAUUUCACCCUGAAACCCGGAGUAAGUCGUGCGGGGACACCUCCAAGGAAAAUUUACCGAAAAGAUUGGUAAAACCUCCCUUGAAGAUGGACAACCCUAACCCGAAAAAUACUACCAAUUCACACACUUACUACAGCACUUCCACAAAAAUAUCACACAAUUAUCCAGCUAAAUAAAAACAAAUAUUAUUCUUCAGCAAUUCUAUACAUAAAGUCAACCGACCGAGCACACCACCGGAAUAAUAUACAAUAAUCCCAAAGUAUUCAGAGCUACUAGACACUAGCGGAAGCAAGAAAACACUAGUAGGUUAAACAGGUAACCUACUGAUGAAAACUGGCGGAAAAGCGGGUAACUAUGCCUCGUCUCCUACUAGGUCCAACCUGAACUCUGCAGACUGGGCAAUUUAAAACGAAGAGCCCAGGGGAAAACAUGUGGAACAGUUAGAGUGAGUGGACAAAAAUAAAUUAAAUAAAUUGAUAGAAUAAUCCUCUCAUCAUGCUCUACAACUUUCCUAACUAGCACAAACACCAAAUCCAAGCCUAACUAGGGCAAUCGAACACAAACACCUAAAAGCCCUAUAAAUUUCAACUCCACAUUUCUCCUUACCUAGCUCAAGAGAGGGAGAGUCUUUUUAGGGCAAGGCUGCUGGGUUAGAGGGCUACAAAACCGUACCAAGCUUGCCCGGAUUGGUGGCCGGAGGAGGGAGUUCCGGCGAAAAGCUUCCCGGCGUUUCCGGCGGGUUUUCUCCUCUUCCGGCGGGUUAGAGGCUCGGGGGCUAGGCCGGGGAGGGAGAGGAGGAGAUGGGGGUCCGAACUGGGGUGGAGCGGCGGCCGGUGGCUGGUCGGACGGCGGCAGCUGGCGGCUGGACGAUCUGGCGGGGAGAGAGCACGGGAGAGAGAAGGAAGAGAAAAGAGAGAAGAAGAGAAAGAGAGGAAAAAUGGGUUGGGCCUCCCAACCGGUCCAACCUUAUCAACCCAACUCAAAAAAUAAAAAUACCCCGAAAAAUAAUACCCGAAUAAAAAUUACCUUUUACUAGCUAAAAUUUACUAUUUUUACCGUCGUCGUAUUUUCCUCUUACGAAUAAUCCUCCGCACAUAAUCGUCCCCGAAACCCCUCUAGGGACCACUUAAACUAUUAACUCAAUGAUCGAGACGGUAAAAUUCUUAUUAUAAUCACGCUAGUAAACAAGGUAAAAAUAUAAGGGUCGGGAUGUGACACAUAUUCUACAUCAAAUAAGAUUAACCUGUUUAGAAUAUGAAGAUCUGCUUUCUUAUUUUAAUUAUGAUAUUAAUAUGUUAUCUGAUGAUGAAUCAACAUCUUCAGAAUCUAACGAAGAUGACAAUGAAAUAAACGCUUUAAGUGAUAGUGAAACAGAUCCAGAAGAAAAAACUUCUGAUUUACCAAAGAAAAGAAAAGCAAAUGAGGACCUUCCUGUGUUUUCCAAUCAGGAAGCUUUUGAAGAAUACUUGAGAACAACUCAAGAUGAAGAUAAAGAAUUCAUAAAUACAACAGAACAUGCAUCAUCAUCUGGAAUAAAAACUGAACCAGAUCAUCCUAGUCCCUCCUACACAAGGAGAGAUGAUAUGAAUAAACAGACGGUAGCCCAACAUGGGACAUAUUUAGAUUUAAGCCAUAUACCAUUUAAGGAUC
rnacentral:lncRNA from 1 species